GAUGAAGAACGUAGCGAAAUGCGAUAAGUAAUGUGAAUUGCAGAAUUCCGUGAAUCAUCGAAUUUUUGAACGCAUAUUGCGCCCUCUGGUAUUCCGGGGGGCAUGCCUGUUCGAGCGUCAUUAUAACCACUCAAGCUCUCGCUUGGUAUUGGGGUUCGCGGUUCCGCGGCCCCUAAAAUCAGUGGCGGUGCCUGUCGGCUCUACGCGUAGUAAUACUCCUCGCGAUUGAGUCCGGUAGGUCUACUUGCCAGCAACCCCCAAUUUUUACAGGUUGACCUCGGAUCAGGUAGGGAUACCCGCUGAACUUAAGCAUAUCAAUAAGCGGAGGA
rnacentral:misc_RNA from 1 species